CCAACAUCACCAUUAAGGUGAUGACCACUGGACCAAAUGGCCGGUGGCCGAGCAGUAUCUGGAUACACUAUAAAACAAGACUCUGGCUAGUAGGCUAGUAGCAAGUUCCGUAGUCCCCCAUACCAUCCCUUCAUUCUCUACAUUCAUUCCAUAAUUCCUUCCGAUACCUCCCUUACUUUUCGGCUGCGGUGUUGUCAAAAGGAGAAAACUUGCUGACUUGCUCUAACACCCACAUAUGCCCAUUCCCAACUCAAUCCCAUGAUCCCAUCCCCACACAGAGUCCACACACACCAAUAACGUCUCCUGCUCCUGGUCCAAAACCAAACCCCCAACCCAAUCGAGCCAACUCUCAACAUAUAUCUUUUUCGGCGUCCACAAUCUACAUCCAUCUUCGUCUCUCUUUGAUCACACGAACUUAGAUAGGGGUCCUCAGAAAGUACCACAGGCUUGUGUUUGAAGCAUCCAAACAGGAAAAAAAAAAACUGCGAGAUUUUCUUUAUGGAAAACAACCACCAAUCCCAACCUCUGCAGCCCACCAAAGCCUCCAGAUUCAAGCGCGUAUGUGUUUUUUGUGGCAGCAGUCCUGGCAAGAAUCCCAGUUACCAGCUGGCUGCUAUUCAGCUCGCCAAUCAGCUGGUUGAAAGGAACAUUGACCUUGUUUAUGGAGGUGGAAGCAUUGGGUUGAUGGGAUUAGUCUCCCAAGCUGUCUUCAAUGGUGGCCGCCACGUGUUAGGGGUGAUUCCCAUAACGCUUAUGCCCAGAGAGAUAACUGGAGAGACUGUUGGAGAAGUGAGGCCUGUGACUGGAAUGCACCAAAGAAAAGCUGAAAUGGCUCGACUGGCAGACGCAUUUAUAGCCUUACCUGGUGGCUACGGCACCUUGGAGGAGCUCCUAGAAGUUAUCACUUGGGCUCAGCUGGGGAUCCAUGACAAACCGGUAGGUUUGCUGAAUGUGGAGGGGUAUUAUAAUUCCCUUUUGUCUUUCAUAGACAAAGCUGUGGAUGAGGGCUUCAUUAGUCCCUCUGCUCGUCAUAUAAUCGUUUCUGCCCAAACUGCUCAUGAGCUCAUGUCCAAGCUUGAGGAGUAUGUUCCAAAGCAUAACGGGGUUGCUUCCAAGCUAAGCUGGGAGAUGGAGCAGCAAUUGGUAUACACAACAAAAUCGGACAUUGCUCGUUGACAGUCUCCGUCGGGUUGAAGGGGAGGUGAAGGGUAAAUUCUAGGAAGAAAGUGGAGAGGAGAAUGGAAGAUUUGAAUAUGAGACCCUCGCGUCCCUUUGUGAUAUUUAAUAUGCAAGAUGUGUAGGGCUUAAGAAGUUAGGAGGAGGAGAGGAGAUCUGAACCCAGGUCCUCGCUCGUUUAAUCCUAUCCUAUGACGUAAAGUGGUUAAAUCAUACAUAGACCUGACUAGGUGCAUUAUUGAUGAGUGAAUAGAUAGAUAAUUCUCCAUGAAUGGAUAAGACAGAGGAGCGAAAUCUUUGCCCAAAGAGUACACUACCAUCUUUAAUUUGCCAGACCAAAAUGGGACCUUACGCUUACAGUACGGCUAGCGCCCGUGUGUGCCAGGCACCAUCAGCAAUGGAGCAGGUACCAUUCAAGUUUGAUACUACAAUGAAUGCGAUUGUUGUAGUAGUAUUCACUAAUGGGAUUAGAGCAUGUAUGAUUGAAGUUCAUGUAUUUUUUGAAGUUCAACAAAGCAGUCAUCUGAAUGUGGCAUACUA